rnacentral:rRNA from 1 species
GACGAACGCUGGCGGCGUGCCUAACACAUGCAAGUCGAACGGAACUUCUUUAAAGGAUUUCUUCGGAAUGAAUUUGAUUAAGUUUAGUGGCGGACGGGUGAGUAACGCGUGAGUAACCUGCCUCUAAGAGGGGAAUAACAUUCUGAAAAGAAUGCUAAUACCGCAUAAUAUAUAUUUAUCGCAUGGUAGAUAUAUCAAAGAUUUAUCGCUUAGAGAUGGACUCGCGUCCGAUUAGUUAGUUGGUGAGGUAACGGCUCACCAAGACCGCGAUCGGUAGCCGGACUGAGAGGUUGAACGGCCACAUUGGGACUGAGACACGGCCCAGACUCCUACGGGAGGCAGCAGUGGGGGAUAUUGCGCAAUGGGGGCAACCCUGACGCAGCAACGCCGCGUGAAGGAUGAAGGUUUUCGGAUUGUAAACUUCUUUUAUUAAGGACGAA